UCGCCUGUUUUUCAAAAACAUGGCCUAUUGAAAGAUAAUUUUAGGUCUUACCUGCCCACUGAGAAUUUAAAUGGCCGCAGUAUUUUGACUGUGCUAAGGUAGCAUAAUCAUUAGUUUUUUAAUUGAAAGCUAGAAUGAAGGGUUUGAUGAAAAAAAAACUGUCUUUUGAUAAUUAAAUUAAAAUUUUAUUAUUAAGUUAAAAAGCUUAAAUUUUUUUAAAAGACGAGAAGACCCUAUAGAGUUUGAUUUUUUUUAUUUUAUAUAAUGUUUAGAAUUUAAAAUUAUAUUUUUUAUAAAAAUUUAAUUGGGGUGAUUGAAAAAUUUAAUAAACUUUUUUUAUUUUUAUUUAUAAAUUUAUAUAUUUUUGAUCCAUAUAAAUGAUUAUAAGAUUAAAUUACCUUAGGGAUAACAGCGUAAUUUUAUUGGAGAGUUCAAAUCGAUAAUAAAGAUUGCGACCUCGAUGUUGGAUUAAAAUUAAAUUUUGGUGUAGCAGCUAAAAGAUUAAGUCUGUUCGACUUUAAAAAUUUUACAGGAUCUGAG
rnacentral:rRNA from 1 species